rnacentral:rRNA from 1 species
GACGAACGCUGGCGGCAUGCCUAACACAUGCAAGUCGAGCGAGCUGAUCUCUUCGGGGUGAAGCUAGCGGCGGACGGGUGAGUAACACGUGGGCAACCUGCCUCAUAGAGGGGAAUAGCCUCCCGAAAGGGAGAUUAAUACCGCAUAAGAUUGUAGCUUCGCAUGAAGUAGCAAUUAAAGGAGCAAUCCGCUAUGAGAUGGGCCCGCGGCGCAUUAGCUAGUUGGUGAGGUAACGGCUCACCAAGGCGACGAUGCGUAGCCGACCUGAGAGGGUGAUCGGCCACAUUGGGACUGAGACACGGCCCAGACUCCUACGGGUGGCAG